rnacentral:rRNA from 1 species
AUUGAACGCUGGCGGCAUGCCUUACACAUGCAAGUCGAACGGUAACAGGUCUUCGGAUGCUGACGAGUGGCGAACGGGUGAGUAAUACAUCGGAACGUGCCCGAGAGUGGGGGAUAACGAGGCGAAAGCUUUGCUAAUACCGCAUACGAUCUCAGGAUGAAAGCAGGGGACCGCAAGGCCUUGCGCUCACGGAGCGGCCGAUGGCAGAUUAGGUAGUUGGUAGGAUAAAAGCUUACCAAGCCGACGAUCUGUAGCUGGUCUGAGAGGACGACCAGCCACACUGGGACUGAGACACGGCCCAGACUCCUACGGGAGGCAGCAGUGGGGAAUUUUGGACAAUGGGCGAAAGCCUGAUCCAGCCAUGCCGCGUGCAGGAUGAAGGCCUUCGGGCUGUAAACUGCUUUUGUACGGAACGAAAAGACUCCUUCUAAUAAAGGGGGUCCAUGACGGUACCGUAAGAAUAAGCACCGGCUAACUACGUGCCAGCAGCCGCGGUAAAAC